rnacentral:tRNA from 1 species
AGGGUUGUGGCUCAGUGGCACAGCACUCACCUAGCAUGUGUGAGACCCUGGGUUCGAUCCUCAGCACCACAU